UUGAUUUUGUCUCAUUUCGUCAUAUCAUAUUACAUUACCAAUUUGAAUCAAACCACUCUUCCUAUUCAACAUUUAUGUUCGCUAAUACAUAACUCAGAUUCGAACUAAUUUACGGAUCCUACUAAUACUACAAUUCGGCACCUAGUGCCUAAUCGAUACGUCUUGAACUAAACAAAUUGCUCCCAGCGUUCAUCAGUUCAUCCGAAGCAAUAAUUGUGCCCAGCACUCGUCG
rnacentral:lncRNA from 1 species